GAUGAACGCUGGCGGCGUGCCUAAUACAUGCAAGUCGAGCGAAGCGGGGACGGGUGAGUAACACGUGGAUAACCUGCUAUAAGACUGGGAUAACUUCGGGAAACCGGAACCAAACCCGAUACUUAUCGAUGGAUCCUCGCUGCAUUAGCUAGUUGGUAGGGUAACGGCUUACCAAGGCAACGAUUCAUAGCCGACCUGAGAGGGUGACCAGCCACACUGGAACUGAGACACGGUCCAGACUCCUACGGGAGGCAGCAGUAGGGAAUCUUCCGCAAUGGGCGAAAGCCUGACGGAGCAACGCCGCGUGAGUGAUGAAGGUCUUCGGGUCGUAAAGCACUGUUAUUAGGGAAGCGGUACCUAAACAGAAAGCCACGGCUAACUACGUGCCAGCAGCCGCGGUAAUUC
rnacentral:rRNA from 1 species